UACGUAGGGGGGCAAGCGUUGUCCGGAUUUAUUGGGCGUAAAGAGCGUGUAGGCGGUCAGGUAGGUCCGUUGUGAAAACUCGAGGCUCAACCUCGAGACGCCGAUGGAAACCAUCUGACUAGAGUCCGGAAGAGGAGAGUGGAAUUCCUGGUGUAGAGGUGAAAUUCGUAGAUAUCGGAAGGAACACCAGUGGCGAAAGCGGCUUCCUGGUCCAGCACCGACGUUCAGGCACGAAAGCGUGGGGAGCAAACAGG
rnacentral:rRNA from 1 species